rnacentral:rRNA from 1 species
UACGUAGGGACCAAGCGUUGUUCGGAUUUACUGGGCGUAAAGGGCGCGUAGGCGGCUUGUCAAGUCACUUGUGAAAUCUCUGGGCUUAACCCAGAACGGCCAAGUGAAACUGACAUGCUAGAGUGCAGAAGGGGCAAUCGGAAUUCUCGGUGUAGCGGUGAAAUGCGUAGAUAUCGAGAGGAACACCAGAGGUGAAGACGGGUUGCUGGGCUGACACUGACGCUGAGGCGCGAAAGCCAGGGGAG